GAUGAACGCUGGCGGCGUGCCUAAUACAUGCAAGUCGAGCGAACAGACGAGGAGCUUGCUCCUCUGACGUUAGCGGCGGACGGGUGAGUAACACGUGGAUAACCUACCUAUAAGACUGGGAUAACUUCGGGAAACCGGAGCUAAUACCGGAUAAUAUAUUGAACCGCAUGGUUCAAUAGUGAAAGACGGUUUUGCUGUCACUUAUAGAUGGAUCCCGGCCGCAUUAGCUAGUUGGUAAGGUAACGGCUUACCAAGGCGACCAUGCGUAGCCGACCUGAUGGAGGGAUCGGCCGCAUGAGAGCUGAGACACGGACCAGACUCCUACGGGAGGCAGCAGUAGGGAAUCUUCCGCAAUGGGCGAAAGCUUGACGGAGCAACGCCGCGUGAGUGAUGAAGGUCUUCGGAUCGUAAAACUCUGUUAUUAGGGAAGAACAAAUGUGUAAGUAACUAUGCACGUCUUGACGGUACCUAAUCAGAAAGCAACGGCUAACUACGUG
rnacentral:rRNA from 1 species